rnacentral:rRNA from 1 species
AAAAAUAAUAGUAAGUGCGAUUGUAUAUCUGCCACUGCAGCAUCAUCUUACGUUGGUGGGAUAUUUGCCUACCAAGGAUUCGACGCUUACGGGGAAUUAGGGUUUGACUCCGGAGAAUGAGCAUGAGAAACAGCUCAUACAUCUAAGGAAGGCAGCAGGCGCGGAAAUUGCCCAAUGUAUCUUUUAUACGAGGCAGUGACAAGAAAUGGUAGGCACUUUUGUGCACUAUCGAGGGUUAGUGGUAUCUUUGCUAACCGUGACUCGUGGGCAAGCUCGGUGCCAGCAGCCGCGGUAAUUCCGACACAGGGAGUUUUCCAUUUGGUUGCUGCAGUUAAAAAGUUCGUAGUUCACUGACUCUUUCACUAUAAGCAAAGCCGAAUGCUCCAAGUUUUUUAGCAGUAUUUAUAGUAUGAAAUUAUAGCGCGGCAUUGAACGUAGUUUGGGGUACUCGAUAGGGACAGGUGAAAUAGGAUGAUCUAUCGAAGACCCACGGUAGCGGAGGCUCCCAACGAAGUCCAAGUGUCACGAUCAAGAACUAAAGUCAGGGGAUAGACGACGAUUAGACACCGUUUUAUUCCUGACCCUAAACGAUGUCGCCUAGCUGAUGGGAUUUUUUUCAUUUGCCAAGAGAAAUCGUAAGGUUUCAGACUCUGGGGGAAGUAUGAUCGCAAGGUUGAAACUUGAAGGGAUUGACGGAGAGGUACCACCAGACGUGGAGUCUGCGGCUCAAUUUGACUCAACACGCAAACAUUACUAGGCCCAGAAGCU